rnacentral:misc_RNA from 1 species
GUGAAUCAUCAAAUUUUUGAACGCAUAUUGCACUCUCUGGUAUUCCGGAGAGUAUGCCUAUUUGAGGGUCAUUUGAAAUAAUAUAAAUUCUAAGAUUUCUCGGUAUUUAAAAUGGGUUGUCCAUUUUUUGUGGUCGCCUAAAAUCCAAGACAAGCUCAUUUUCUUGGUUUGUGUGAUACUUUCAGUUACCUCGUGACUUAACCAGGAAUCAUCGGUCGUGUUAUUAAUUUUACUAGUGAUAAAAGAUUCUAUAGAUUUAUCUCAUUCGAAUUAGAAAUCGAAUCAUUACCUCAA